UAAUACGUGACCCCCGAGCGUUAUCCGGAUUUAUUGGGCGUAAAGCGUCUGUAGGCGGUUUGGAAAGUUUCUGGUUAAAUACCCAGGGCUUAACCUUGGGGCUGCCAGAGAUACUUCCAGACUAGAGGGCGUUAGAGGCUGAUGGAACGGUCGGUGUAGAGGUGAAAUUCGUUGAUAUCGACCGGAACACCGAAAGCGAAGGCAUUCAGCUGGGGCGACCCUGACGUUGAGAGACGAAAGCGUGGGGAGCAAAAAGGAUUAGAUACCCUUGUAGUCCACGCUGUAAACGAUGGACACUGGCUAUUUGAAGUGUCGACCCUUCAAGUGGCGAAGCUAACGCGUUAAGUGUCCCGCCUGGGAAGUACGGCGGCAACGCUA
rnacentral:rRNA from 1 species